rnacentral:rRNA from 1 species
CCUACGGGAGGCAGCAGUGGGGAAUAUUGGGCAAUGGAGGAGACUCUGACCCAGCGACGCCGCGUGCGGGAUGAAGGCCUUCGGGUUGUAAACCGCUUUCAGUAGGGAAGAAGCGAAAGUGACGGUACCUACAAAAGAAGCACCGGCUAACUAUGUGCCAGCAGCCGCGGUAAUACAUAGGGUGCAAGCGUUGUCCGGAAUUAUUGGGCGUAAAGAGCUCGUAGGUCGUUUGUUACGUCGGAUGUGAAAACCUGAGGCUCAACCUCAGGCCUGCAUUCGAUACGGGCAAGCUAGAGUUUGGUAGGGGAGACUGGAAUUCCUGGUGUAGCGGUGGAAUGCGCAGAUAUCAGGAGGAACACCAAUGGCGAAGGCAGGUCUCUGGGCCAAUACUGACACUGAGGAGCGAAAGUCUGGGGAGCGAACAGGAUUAGAUACCCUGGUAGUCCAGACCGUAAACGGUGGGCACUAGUUGUGGGAACCUUCCACGGUUUCUGCGACGCAGCUAACGCAUUAAGUGCCCCGCCUGGGGAGUACGAUCGCAAGAUUAAACUNAAGUAGAGUGCGNGNGAGAGCGACGACGACGACGACGGAGGGAGGAG